GGUGACCUCUUCAUGAAAGUUGCCGUUCAUAGAUGGGCCCGCGUGCCAUUAGCUUGUUGGUGGGGUAAUGGCCUACCAAGGCGACGAUGGUUAGCUGGUCUGAGAGGAUGAUCAGCCACACUGGAACUGGAACACGGUCCAGACUCCUACGGGAGGCAGCAGUGAGGAAUUUUGCGCAAUGGGGGAAACCCUGACGCAGCAACGCCGCGUGAGCGAAGAAGGCCCUCGGGUCGUAAAGCUCUGUCAAGUGGGAAAAAAAUCUUUUGAUCAAUAGUCAAAAGACUUGAUGGUACCAUUGGAGGAAGCACCGGCUAACUCCGUGCCAGCAGCCGCGGUAAUACGGAGGGUGCAAGCGUUGUUCGGAUUUACUGGGCGUAAAGAGCGUGUAGGCGGUUUAGCAAGUCAGAUGUGAAAGCCCUGGGCUCAACCCGGGAAGUGCAUUUGAAACUGCUUCACUAGAGUAUGGGAGAGGAGACUGGAAUUCCUGGUAGAGGUGAAAUUCGUAGAUAUCAGGAGGAACACCCGUGGCGAAGGCGAUUCUCUGGACCAAUACUGACGCUGAGACGCGAAAGCGUGGGGAGCAAACAGGAUUAGAUACCCUGGUAGUCCACGCCGUAAACGAUGAGAACUAGGUGUAGUGGGUAUUGACCCCUGCUGUGCCGAAGUUAACGCAUUAAGUUCUCCGCCUGGGGAGUACGGCCGCAAGGCUAAAACUCAAAGGAAUUGACGGGGGCCCGCACAAGCGGUGGAGCAUGUGGUUUAAUUCGACGCAACGCGAAGAACCUUACCUGGGUUUGACAUCCUUUGACCGCCAUGGAAACAUGGUUUUUCCGGCUUUGCCGGAACAAAGUGACAGGUGCUGCAUGGCUGUCGUCAGCUCGUGUCGUGAGAUGUUGGGUUAAGUCCCGCAACGAGCGUAACCCUUGUCUUUAGUUGCCAUUAUUAAGUUAGGCACUCUAAAGAGACUGCCUCGGUUAACGGGGAGGAAGGUGGGGAUGACGUCAAGUCCUCAUGGCCUUUAUAUCCAGGGCUACACACGUGCUACAAUGGGCUGUACAAAGGGUUGCUAACCCGCGAGGGUGCGCUAAUCCCAAAAAGCAGUUCUCAGUUCGGAUUGAAGUCUGCAACUCGACUUCAUGAAGGUGGAAUCGCUAGUAAUCGUGGAUCAGCAUGCCACGGUGAAUACGUUCCCGGGCCUUGUACACACCGCCCGUCACACCACGAAAGUCGACUGUACCAGAAGUUGCUGGGCUAACCUUUUCGGAGGAGGCAGGUACCUAAGGUACGGCCGGUAAUUGGGGUGAAGUCGUAACAAGGUA
rnacentral:rRNA from 1 species